GACGUAGGAGGCGAGCGUUGUCCGGAUUCAUUGGGCGUAAAGAGCUCGUAGGCGGUGUGUCACGUCGGCCGUGAAAACCUGCAGCUUAACUGUGGGCGUGCGGUCGAUACGGGCAUCACUGGAGUUCGGCAGGGGAGACUGGAAUUCCUGGUGUAGCGGUGAAAUGCGCAGAUAUCAGGAGGAACACCGGUGGCGAAGGCGGGUCUCUGGGCCGUAACUGACGCUGAGGAGCGAAAGCGUGGGGAGCGAACAGG
rnacentral:rRNA from 1 species